rnacentral:misc_RNA from 1 species
AAGUCGUAACAAGGUUUCCGUAGGUGAACCUGCGGAAGGAUCAUUAACACGUAUCCAAACGUUAAACCCCCCUGUGAACCUUCAGUCGUACUCGUACGUCCGUUAGAAAACACAUGUUAGUGACACUUUCAGACACUAACGUUAGUGACACUUUCAGACACUAACUGCUUGGGGAUGCCAGGCCACUUACACGCACAACAUGCACGCUCCUUGCAGACGUCCCUGAAUCGAAAACUGUUCGGCGAUGAUUUACCAGGGAUUGCUGCUUAAGGAUGACGCAGUCACGAUCGUUGGAGGCCCACACGGCCGACGACCGGGUCACUGGGUGCAAGCCCCCUUAUCACACCCCUGCUCUAUCUAUGGUGAUCCUGCGGGAAGUCCUGCGGUCGAACGCCGAAACCGAACAACUGUUAACAACGGAUCUCUUGGUUCUG